AUUGAACGCUGGCGGCAUGCCUUACACAUGCAAGUCGAACGGUAACGGGCCUUCGGGUGCCGACGAGUGGCGAACGGGUGAGUAAUACAUCGGAACGUGCCCGAUCGUGGGGGAUAACGAGGCGAAAGCUUUGCUAAUACCGCAUACGAUCUACGGAUGAAAGCAGGGGACCGCAAGGCCUUGCGCGGACGGAGCGGCCGAGGGCAGAUUAGGUAGUUGGUGGGAUAAAAGCUUACCAAGCCGACGAUCUGUAUCUGGUCUGAGAGGAUGAUCAGCCACACUGGGACUGAGACACGGCCCAGACUCCUACGGGAGGCAGCAGUGGGGAAUUUUGGACAAUGGGCGCAAGCCUGAUCCAGCCAUGCCGCGUGCAGGAUGAAGGCCUUCGGGUUGUAAACUGCUUUUGUACGGAACGAAAAGCCUUCUUUUAAUACAGGAGGGUCAUGACGGUACCGUAAGAAUAAGCACCGGCUAACUACGUG
rnacentral:rRNA from 1 species